CACGAGGAAGAGACGCAGUGUUUUCUCCUGAGCGUGAAGUUGGCGUUUGGUGCUGCUUGUGCAGCUGCCAUGGGCCGUUGAUGAUCGUUCUUCUCUCCUUUUUGGGAGAGUAAGAGGGAGAAAACACCGUCUGAGUG
rnacentral:snoRNA from 1 species